rnacentral:rRNA from 10 species
AAAUUGAAGAGUUUGAUCAUGGCUCAGAUUGAACGCUGGCGGCAGGCCUAACACAUGCAAGUCGAACGGUAACAGGAAGCAGCUUGCUGCUUUGCUGACGAGUGGCGGACGGGUGAGUAAUGUCUGGGAAACUGCCUGAUGGAGGGGGAUAACUACUGGAAACGGUGGCUAAUACCGCAUAACGUCGCAAGACCAAAGAGGGGGACCUUCGGGCCUCUUGCCAUCAGAUGUGCCCAGAUGGGAUUAGCUAGUUGGUGAGGUAACGGCUCACCAAGGCGACGAUCCCUAGCUGGUCUGAGAGGAUGACCAGCCACACUGGAACUGAGACACGGUCCAGACUCCUACGGGAGGCAGCAGUGGGGAAUAUUGCACAAUGGGCGCAAGCCUGAUGCAGCCAUGCCGCGUGUAUGAAGAAGGCCUUAGGGUUGUAAAGUACUUUCAGCGGGGAGGAAGGUGUUG